GCCUCUGUUCUGAGAAAUUAUAGAUCCGCCGGAGAACGUGCACGCCCAGAAAUUGACCAGGUGAGGCUGGACUUCCUGAGUGGUUAGCGGGUCCCCACCUCCUGGCGCCCAGGGGUGCCCUGCCCAGCCCAGCGCCAUCCUGUCUGUUCCCAAGCCCCGAAGGUGAGUGGCUGCUGGCUUUCGUUCCGUGCUUCUCAGACACCAGUGGGACUGCAGCCCCUGAGGCUCGUCAGCGGGGGACUGUCCUGUCCCGUGAAGGGCGUGUAUGUCUCUUGCCAAUUUCUGGUGAUGGCUCAGUCCGAUCUGUGUUCUUAAAGAAAGUCUGGAUGCACAUCCUUCCUGGCUGGGGGGGGGGCGUGUGAGCAGUGUGUCCUUCCGUCCUGGGGCUCACCUGGCCGCGCUCUCCAUCAUUUUUGGCAAGAGUUCGUUGGAUCGCCGUUUCCCGAGGCACUCGGCGCCGAGCAGGAGUUCUCAGAACGUGGGGGUUUCUGGGCCACUCUCGGACGUGGACUUUAAUGUGACGCUCUCAAAGCGCCGUGGGGCACGUCGGGGGCUGUGCCCCCCAGCCUCGAGGUGGACAACGUCUUGGUCCCUCGCGGAGACGGCUCCCCCCAAGAGCCGCUUGGCUCCGCGGCCAGGGCCCCGUGUGCGCUCUUCUGGACCGAGCGAGCGGCUCGCCCGCGUCUGGGCCGGAACCAGAGCCCGCGAGAGGCGGGCUGCGCUGAGGUCUGUGCGGAAGGGACCCCCGCAAGCCCCACGUCAUCCCCCGCUCUAGCUCUGACCUGGGGUCGCUCAGCACUGCUACGCGUUUCUGUUCCGAUCACCCGUGAGGCGUGUCGUUUUCCCGGCUGGCGGCUACUUUUUGAUACGUUUCCUCCUCGGUCUGCCUCAGUUUUGCCGUCUGGGCUUUGAGCUCCCGAAAGGUGCUGCGGAGUGCGACGCCGCCCCGACAAGUCCUCCCCUGCGGCGGCCCAGUCAGCGCGGCGGGGCCUGCCCGCUGGCGUGGCUGCCCCUGGCCGGCGAGCGGGCUUUCUGCGAACACGUGCAGUGCUGGGGCACCGGGGGGGGGCGCCACUAGCUCCUUCCGCCGGCUGAGCUCACCGCCAUAGGGGCGCCUCUGUCCGGGGCUGCCGAGACCUUGUCGCGAGCCUUCAGCUACGGCUCUCGGUGCGGACGUGGGUUUCCGGCCUCUUGGGCACAUUCUUCCGGGGGAGCUGCUGGCUCACGCGUGUUUAGGUGCGACAGUUACGAGACUUUAAGUCACCCCUGCACCCGGCAUGGGGCUCAAGCCCAUCCCCCGAGCUGCAGAGCCGCAGGGGCUGGGCCGGCUGCCUGCGUCCCACAGCACACUCCGCAGCGUGAGCGCGCCCUGCGCAUCCGUCCUCGCCCGGCGGCCCGGCUCUCAGCGCCGCCUUCCCCGGGACGCGCUCUCCAAGGCGGGCCGGCUUUUCCCUUGUCUCCUGAGUUCUGAGAGUGGAUUAUCAGGUAUGAUAUUUGGGAGCAUUUUUCCCAGUCUGUGGCUCGGCCGUUUUUUAAAAAAUGGGGCACGUGGGUGGCUCGGUCAGUGCAGCGUCAGACGUUUGAUGCCACCUCGGGUCUCCAUCUCUGGGUUGGGAGUUCAAGCCCGGCCUUGGCCUCCGCACUGGCUAUAGGGCCUACUUCAAGAAAAAAAAAGGCGAACCGCCUCCUAGAAUGCAGAGGUUGGUUUUGACAAGCUGCCCCGCUGGUUUGGCUUUUCUCUGGCUCAGGCUUUCCACGUGCCUCACACCAGAUGACGGCGAUCUUCCAGCGGAGGGGUGUGGGGCGCCUUCCCGUUGACUUAGAUCUUCACGAAUCUUGAGCUGUUUUCCAUGCGGUACUUCCGGAGGAUCUUUAGUUUGGUGCCGCCGUGGACGGGACCCUCUUCGUUCCGUGAACAGCUGUUCCCAGCACGUGGAAAUGGAGUGGAUUUUGUUUUUCCUAAUCUGGUGUCCCAGGACCUGGCCGAAUGAAUUUGCCGGCGCUGGGUUUCCUGCAGCCGUUUCCGCGGCUUCCUGGUGCCCCACGGCGCAGCCAGCACCACGCCGAGACCGGCCGCACCUCGCUCCUGGUUUUAGAGUUUCUUCACUAGAAGCCUCUCCUCCUGCUGUGCAGGUGCGUGUCCCGCACACGUCGGUGCUUUCCACGUCCACUUUCUCUGUCCUGCUUCACGCACGGGCAGGUCCUCACGCAGGGGCCGCGCUGGUCGUCUCUGUGGCUGCAGCUCGCGCGUGUGCGGGAGCGCGCGCCGCGUCCACGGCUCCGACUGCGUGCUGUCCUGUCCGGAGGCGGGGGUGGCCAGACCUCACGCUGCCGCUGGGAACUCAUUCCGCUCGAGCAAGCCGACACACUCCCUUCGCUCUGUUAAAACUCACUGUGACCGGUUUCGUGGCUCACGCCGGGUCUGGGCUGGAGGACGCGCGCGGGCGGGCUGAUCCGAGCACAGGCGGGUUCCGUGGGCGAGCGCGUGCUCUGCGCCUUCGGCGUCCUGGGUCACGGGUCCUCCAGGCCGUCUGCCGCUCCGGGAGAACGUCGGCCUCCGUGUCUUAGGGUGCCUGGCUGGCUCCGUCGGUGAGGCGUCCGAUUCAUGGUUUCAGCUCAGGUUGUGAUCUCGGGGACGCAAGAUUGAGUCCUGCCCUGGUCUUCAAGCUCUGGGGGAGUCUGCACCCCUCCCCCGAUUUGCUCGCUCGCUCUCUCAGUUUUUUUAUU